rnacentral:rRNA from 1 species
AGUGAACGCCGGCGGUAGGCCUAACACAUGCAAGUCGAACGGCAGCACAGUAAGAGCUUGCUCUUACGGGUGGCGAGUGGCGGACGGGUGAGGAAUACAUCGGAAUCUACUUUUUCGUGGGGGAUAACGUAGGGAAACUUACGCUAAUACCGCAUACGACCUACGGGUGAAAGCAGGGGAUCUUCGGACCUUGCGCGAUUGAAUGAGCCGAUGUCGGAUUAGCUAGUUGGCGGGGUAAAGGCCCACCAAGGCGACGAUCCGUAGCUGGUCUGAGAGGGUGAUCAGCCACACUGGAACUGAGACACGGUCCAGACUCCUACGGGAGGCAGCAGUGGGGAAUAUUGGACAAUGGGCGCAAGCCUGAUCCAGCCAUACCGCGUGGGUGAAGAAGGCCUUCGGGUUGUAAAGCCCUUUUGUUGGGAAAGAAAAGCAGCAGGUUAAUACCCCGCUGUUCUGACGGUACCCAAAGAAUAAGCACCGGCUAACUUCGUG